ACAGGCUACAAACAUGAUAUUGUUGGUACAUACAUGUAAUACGUCGAUUUAACAGCGAUUAGAUAGAACUUCCGAAUGAACAAAACGGAUUUGUCAACUUGUCGAAACUAACGCACGCGCGUCUACUAAGACGCACAUUUCUUACCACGUGACCACGAUUCCAGUGCUUUGAAAAGCCGAAUAAUAUGAUAUUUUAACUCCCGGAAGUCGACUGUCCGUCGUGAGCCUAUUCCCAGACGAUACCAGUCACGUGUUAUGAUAAAGGAAUCUAGGUUGGUUGUCCAUAGUUUUCCUGAUCAUUUUACAGAGCUUUACAGUUUCGUACGAGACACAUUUGAGCGGCGCUCUGUGGAAAUGGGGCUUAAUGAGUGUGUGUAAAUUGAAGUCCCAGAUAAGCCUGUGCAAUACGCAAUACGCACAGGCUUAUAGACUUUAUUCACGCCUCGGUAUCGAUUAUCUCAAAACGAGGCUGAUAACGCAUGGUUGAUUAACACGGUCCGUGCUCAGAAAAAAAAUGGCGACGGCAAAACAAGGAUUAAGUGAUGUUGGUUGGACCCGAAAUCUGAAACCAAUUCCAAAUAUUUCUAUGGGAGAAGUGCAGGAAAUUAUAAACAAACACUCAAAGGUUCCAAGCAAGCAUCUAGAUAGAGGAUACAGGCAUUUUUUCGGACACCAUGUGCACGGUAUCGAAGUGAAAGUCCAUCCUAGGGGAUGCUUUGUUCGAGCCAAGUGCUGCAGAUCUUUUGACAAGAAGGGUGCAGUUUGGAAUGUACAUAAUGGGAAUCCUAUCAGUUGUACGUCCGUAUUUGAAACAACUGUCAACUGGGGUGGCAUUGUUGCUCAUGGUCGUCUAUGUCAUGUCCGGUAGACAGAUGUCGUUAUAUUUUACCCCGGAAGCUGAACGUCUCGUCAGAAAAAUACAACUUCAUCAUGCAUACGCUGGAGGGCAAGCGGAUCCAGUCAUCCUUGCCGGGAAUUGUGGCCACAAUCCUAGAGCGGAGUUCUGCGACCGAGAUAAGCUGGUGUAUGCCAUGGCUGGAG